rnacentral:tRNA from 1 species
UUCCAUUUCGUCUAACAGGCAUGACAUCGGUCUCUGAAGCCGAAAAUGAAAGUUCGACUCUUUCAAUGGAAGCCA